rnacentral:miRNA from 1 species
CACCCGUCCCGUGCGUCCCCGGA